UUUAAAAUAGUGAGGAUUUUUAAAAUAACUAUCUUAGACCAUUACUCCACUCCCCGACUAGUCCCAGCAACAUUCUCGCCUCCUGAGAAGAAAAAUGGAACCAAAAGGAAAAGGGUGAGCUCAACUAGCCCACUAAAUAAUAUUAUGACUAAGAUAAUGUAGAACAAAUUAUCAUUAGUCCUCAAUAGAGAAAAAUUUGAUAGGAUACAAUAGACAACAAGUUUUAGAUCAACAACUGCAGCGAAAAUAACAAUCCAUUAGAAGAGUCAAGUAGAGCAUGAUGUCUACUAUCUUCUAUAAUUUAAAAGUUUGUCAUCAAUAUUUUAUCCAUGUAACAUUAAUCAAUAAAUAUUUCAAAUCAACGAAUUAUCCAUGCACUACGGGUCAAGGAUAUUCGUUUGUAUCACCAAUGGUCAUGAUCAUACCAAAUAACUAUCCAUCUAUGCACUACAGGCCAAAGAGGACUUUCACCACAACAUUUGUAUGUAACAUUACAGGUCAUGAUUAUACAAAUACACAAUUCUUGGUCAUAAUCAUAUCAAUCAACAGUCCAUCUAUGCACUACGGGCCAAAGAUGACUUUUACCACAAUAUAAGCAUGAGAAUAAUGACAGUGAUAUAAGGAAUCAAUCAAGUGAGAUCAAGGAUAAAUAUUAGAUAUUUAUAAUUUAAUUUAUCCAAAGUUCAAGAAUGUCUAAAUUGUCAACAUGAUAAUUAAUUGUGUAGUAAAAUUCAAGAAUGAUAUUCAUGUAUCAAAAAUAAUUUGGACAGAAAAGAAAUCAAUUUUAUCGUGAAUAGUACCCCGAGUGAAUAAUACCCGAGCGAAUAGUACCUCAUGAAUAGUACCCUGAAUGAAAAUAUUGGAAUUUAAUAAGAACGUUCAUACUAAUAUUCCAAUAAAAUAAUACUAGAUGAAGCACAAAACUUAAGGAUAUUCUACUAAUUUCAUGAAUUAUAGAAGCAAUACUUACCAUAGUAAGUUUAGAUUUAGGAAUAUGAAAAGAAAUAAUAUACGAAACUGCAAAUGAAUUUUCACCCGUCAUGCGGUAAUCCGCGUAGACAGAUCUUUUCCAUAAAUAAAGAAUAAGUAUCUACGUAGACAGGUUAUUCCCACAAAUUAAAUAAUGAAUAUGAAGGGUUAUUCAUCAUGCAUGCGGUAAUCCGCAUAGACAGGUUACUCCCGCAGAUUAAUAAAGAAUGAAUACAAAAAAUAUUAUCCCUUACGAAUACGAUAAAUAAUAUCAUUUACCUUAGUAGGAAAUUGGAUACUGCAAUAGUGAAGUAGCAAAAUACUCUUCUUCUUUCUCUCUAUAGUUUCUCUCUCUAUAGUUUUAGUGAAUUCGUAAAAAAAAUGAAGAAAUGAGCUUCUAUUUAUAGGAGAAUGGACUAAAUAGUAACUGAUUCACAGAUGGUCCAGAUUGAUUUACUAUUAAAACAGACGGUCCAUAUUGAUUUACUAUUAAAAUCUCAACUGACGGUCUAUAUUGAUUUAUUAUUAAAACCUCAACCGACGGUCCAUAUUGAUUUACUAUUAAAACCUCAACCAAUGAUCCAUAUUGAUUUACUAUUAAAACUUCAACCGACAGUCUGAAAAAUUAGUACAUCUCCCCAUAGAAUAAUAAGCUAAACUUACAACAAACGUCUCAUGACAAACCCCUCUAUUUAUAUCAAAAAUUGAAUAAAUAUUUAUCACAAAUCACUUAUCUUCAAUAAACACAUUUUUAAUCUUUCAACAAUUAUUCAUCAUUAAUAUUAUAACUCACAAUAUUGACAACCAGAUCAUUCCCAAGAAAGAAGGGACUUUCCGAUAAGGAUUUCUCCUUAUUGGCGCGCAAUUAAAUAACCUAACCCCUUUCCUCGACAGAACUUUCUAGACAUUGUCAAUAAUACAAAUUAUAAUAUGAAUAAUUGUGUCGUCUCAAUUAUUGAUUUAAUAAUAUAAAAUAUUGUGCAGAUGAUACUGUGACAAUAAUUGAAUCAAUAAUAUGAGAUACUAUGUAACAACUACUGUAGUAAUUAUUGAAUAAAAUUGAGUGACUUCUUAUGUAAGCGUCAAUAAUCAGAGAUACUGUGAAAUACCGUGUGUUACUAUGCAACAACGCGUAUUACUGUACUUUUAUCACCGGAUAUUUCAACAGUGUAACGGUAAAAGUCUUGCCAUUAUUUUAUAAAAAGAUUAUUUCUGUCGCUUUCUAUAUCCGACAGUCAUUCCGUUGUUUUGUCCACCAAUGAUUGUGUCGUCUUACGAAUAUUCUCCGACAAAAAGAAUAUUUCCCGACCAAACGAAUAUUUUAUGACAACUUGAUUACUUGCAAAAUUUGCACAUAUCACCCAUAACUAUAGCAUUAUAUCAAAUCACACUUUAUUAUUCAAAAUAAUAUUUAGAGAAAAUUAAAUCUUUAUUCAUAAAAAGUUGUGGUCUUACAAUGGUGAUGAUGAUGAGCACACAAAUCGAGAAUCAAAAUUUAUGUUUCCAGGAUUUGAUUCCGACGAGAGUGCUGCAAUUGAUCUGAAACUUUUGAAGGCUCUGAAGCAGGAGAUGACCGAGGCAGUUAGUGAUUUUUCCUCUGUUUCUGCUAUUGCUCCUUCGAAAGUGGUUUAUGAUACUCUAGCGCCAACGGCAGAUCAUAAUUCGGUGUUAGGUGAUGUUCCUUAUGCAGAGAAUUCAUUUAGGGGUUUGAAUUCGUCUGUGGGAAUGUAGAGUUUGAAUCAAGUAAAGGGUAGUGGAAAUUGCUCUGGAUUUGAAUAUGUAUCUCGGAUUUUUAUUUUGAGAAUUUUAAGAGGAAGAAAAGCACACGACUGAUAACUUUUUGAUUUUGAUUUGGU
rnacentral:lncRNA from 1 species